UACAAAACAGGAACUAAAAAGGAUUUCAAAAAGUGUGCUUGUCAUAAUCUACAGUUAAACAAGUGCACAAAAAAGAAGUAUGCUCUUCGAGGGACUACAGGGCUCUGAUUCAUGACCAAUUUUCCCCCUCCCUACAGUGUGGUC